CUCAGGACGAACGCUGGCGGCAUGCCUAAUACAUGCAAGUCGAGCGAACAGACGAAGUGCUUGCACUUCUGACGUUAGCGGCGAACGGGUGAGUAACACGUAAGGAAUCUACCUAUAAGCGGGGGAUAACAUUCGGAAACGGGUGCUAAUACCGCAUAAUAUCUUCUUCCGCAUGGAAGAAGAUUGAAAGACGGCUCUGCUGUCACUUAUAGAUGACCUUGCGGUGCAUUAGUUAGUUGGUGGGGUAAAGGCCUACCAAGACGAUGAUGCAUAGCCGACCUGAGAGGGUGAUCGGCCACAUUGGGACUGAGACACGGCCCAAACUCCUACGGGAGGCAGCAGUAGGGAAUCUUCCGCAAUGGGCGAAAGCCUGACGG
rnacentral:rRNA from 1 species